GUAGGUGAACCUGCGGAAGGAUCAUUAUCACGUAAUAAUCCACGUUAUAAACCCUUCUUUGAAUUGUUUAAAACACUAAAUUUCUGGAACAGCUUUCGUAGCUGGAAUGCUUUUGGAUUGGGUCAUGAAAAUUUUAACAGAACACUGUUUGGUAAAUUUAUUUAUCAAAUUGAAAUGGGAAAAUUAUUGUAAUUUGAGAUCCCAGAGUAUUGUUAAUAGUUCAUAACCAGCAAUUCGCUAGCGUCUAAGA
rnacentral:misc_RNA from 1 species